GCCCACCCCACCACUUCCGUUGUGCUCCUUUAAGUAAAAGCCACAGGCACUUCUCAGCCUUUCGGCGGCGGCAAGGUCUGGCCUUGCGGAGGACGUCGGAUUUAAUCGAUAAUUUCAGCGCUUCCGCACUCCCUAAUUUCCAACCUUCUCAAUAAAAUGAUUUGACCCAGAGCUGGUGUGUGUGUCUCCCUCAUUGGCGACGCGUUGCCUUUGAGCCCCUGCUGCGCCUGCGCGUGGCGCCGGGGGUCAGGCUGCAGCGCCAGAGGACGUGCUCGCGCAUAACUGGGGCCGCCUGCCUCUCGCUGGCGGCCCUUUUAACCGCGAGCUACAUGGCCAUGCCCAGGAUCAGCAUCGAUGCUGCUGGAGGUGGGCAGUUUAGAGGGAGGAUUCAGCUGCAGUGUCCUGGGGGAUGACGGAGAUAGCCAUAGGCCCCACUGCGUAUUUUGUGUGGAGAUGAGAACCAACUUCUUGGAUAGACCUCCUACCACAAGCACCAAGUACGUGUGCUCCAGCCUCCUGGAUGUCAAGAUCUAACUCAGGAUUCUCUCUAACCACCUGGACUUUACUUGGAUGUGUAAUUCCCACCUGCUGAGUGGGGAAAAUGGGCUCCUACCCCACCAAGAAGCUGUGAGAAUUAAUCAAGUGGUACGGUCAGAGAAUACAGGACAGAGAAUACCAGUUUGCUACAAAGGGCAGCUGUUAUCACUGGUAGAGGAGUAAUCUUUAGGGUGGAGGAGGAUUGAGAAUAAAAACAGCUCAUCCCAUAAAAUUCAAGCAUUCACCUUAACUUUUUCUGACAUGUGAAGAUGGAUCCUUAAAUGUGAAUUAACCAUUCACAGAAGAAAGCUCGAUCAAAUUUACAAUGAAUACUGGGGUUCCAUGAAAAUAGUGGGAAAAAGCUCCUGUCCAUGGUACUUGCCCUAAUCCCAAAGUUAAGCAGGCUGGGUGGGAUGUUUAUGGUCAUGCAACAAAAGGAAUCACUUGCUGUCUUUGAGGACCCUCCCCGUACCAUA